UACGGGGGGGGGCAAGCGUUGUUCGGAAUUACUGGGCGUAAAGGGCGCGCAGGCGGCUCAUUUUGUCAGGCGUGAAAGCCCCGGGCUUAACCUGGGAACUGCGUUUGAUACGGAUGGGCUAGAGUUCGGGAGAGGAGAGUGGAAUUCCCAGUGUAGAGGUGAAAUUCGUAGAUAUUGGGAAGAACACCGGUGGCGAAGGCGGCUCUCUGGACCGAGACUGACGCUGAGGAGCGAAAGCGUGGGGAGCGAACAGG
rnacentral:rRNA from 1 species